AGGUCCGGUCAUAUGAGCACUAAUGCACUACAUCCCAUCAAACUCCAAAGUUAAACCUGCUUGGGCGAGAGUAGUACUACGAUGGGUGACCUCUUGGGAAGUCCUCGUGUUACAUCUC
rnacentral:rRNA from 1 species